GAUGAACGCUGGCGGCGUGCCUAACACAUGCAAGUCGAGCGGCAGCGCGAGUAGUUUACUACUUGGCGGCGAGCGGCGGACGGCUGAGUAACGCGUGGGAACGUGCCCCAAAGUGAGGGAUAACGCACCGAAAGGUGUGCCAAUACCGCAUAUGGUCUUCGGAUUAAAGAAUUUAUUCGCUUUGGGAGCGGCCCGCGUCGGAUUAGGUAGUUGGUAGGGUAAUGGCCUACCAAGCCGACGAUCCGUAGCUGGUCUGAGAGGAUGAUCAGCCAGACUGGAACUGAGACACGGUCCAGACUCCUACGGGAGGCAGCAGUGAGGAAUCUUCCACAAUGGGCGAAAGCCUGAUGGAGCAACGCCGCGUGCAGGAUGAAGGCCUUCGGGUUGUAAACUGCUUUUAUAAGUGAAGAAUAUGACGGUAACUUAUGAAUAAGCACCGGCUAACUACGUGCCAGCCGCCGCGGUAA
rnacentral:rRNA from 1 species